rnacentral:rRNA from 1 species
UGGGGAAUAUUGGACAAUGGGCGCAAGCCUGAUCCAGCCAUGCCGCGUGUGUGAAGAAGGCCUUUUGGUUGUAAAGCACUUUAAGCGAGGAGGAGGCUACUUGGAUUAAUACUCUAGGAUAGUGGACGUUACUCGCAGAAUAAGCACCGGCUAACUCUGUGCCAGCAGCCGCGGUAAUACAGAGGGUGCGAGCGUUAAUCGGAUUUACUGGGCGUAAAGCGUGCGUAGGCGGCUUUUUAAGUCUGAUGUGAAAUCCCUGAGCUUAACUUAGGAAUUGCAUUCGAUACUGGGAAGCUAGAGUAUGGGAGAGGAUGGUAGAAUUCCAGGUGUAGCGGUGAAAUGCGUAGAGAUCUGGAGGAAUACCGAUGGCGAAGGCAGCCAUCUGGCCUAAUACUGACGCUGAGGUACGAAAGCAUGGGGAGCAAACAGG